AACGCUAGCUACAGGCUUAACACAUGCAAGUCGAGGGGCAGCGGGAUUGAAGCUUGCUUCAAUUGCCGGCGACCGGCGCACGGGUGAGUAACGCGUAUCCAACCUUCCGUACACUCAGGGAUAGCCUUUCGAAAGAAAGAUUAAUACCUGAUAGUAUGAUGAGAUUGCAUGGUAUCAUCAUUAAAGAUUUAUCGGUGUACGAUGGGGAUGCGUUCCAUUAGGUAGUAGGCGGGGUAACGGCCCGCCUAGCCAACGAUGGAUAGGGGUUCUGAGAGGAAGGUCCCCCACAUUGGAACUGAGACACGGUCCAAACUCCUACGGGAGGCAGCAGUGAGGAAUAUUGGUCAAUGGACGAGAGUCUGAACCAGCCAAGUAGCGUGAAGGAUGAAGGUCCUACGGAUUGUAAACUUCUUUUAUAAGGGAAUAAACCCUCCCACGUGUGGGAGCUUGUAUGUACCUUAUGAAUAAGCAUCGGCUAACUCCGUGCCAGCAGCCGCGGUAAUACGGAGGAUGCGAGCGUUAUCCGGAUUUAUUGGGUUUAAAGGGAGCGCAGACGGGUCGUUAAGUCAGCUGUGAAAGUUUGGGGCUCAACCUUAAAAUUGCAGUUGAUACUGGCGUCCUUGAGUGCGGUUGAGGUGUGCGGAAUUCGUGGUGUAGCGGUGAAAUGCUUAGAUAUCACGAAGAACUCCGAUUG
rnacentral:rRNA from 1 species